rnacentral:rRNA from 1 species
GAUGAACGCUAGCGGCAGGCCUAACACAUGCAAGUCGAGGGGUAGCAGGAUUAAGCUUGCUUAAUUGCUGACGACCGGCGCACGGGUGCGUAACGCGUAUGCAACUUACCUUAUACUGGGGUAUAGCCCGGAGAAAUUCGGAUUAAUCCCCCAUAGUACUAAUGAAUCGCAUGGUUUAUUAGUUAAAGCAUUGCGGUAUAAGAUGGGCAUGCGUCCUAUUAGCUAGAUGGUGAGGUAACGGCUCACCAUGGCUACGAUAGGUAGGGGGCCUGAGAGGGUGGUCCCCCACACUGGUACUGAGACACGGACCAGACUCCUACGGGAGGCAGCAGUGAGGAAUAUUGGUCAAUGGGCGCAAGCCUGAACCAGCCAUGCCGCGUGCAGGAAGAAUGCCCUAUGGGUUGUAAACUGCUUUUAUUUGGGAAAAAACCUCUUUACGUGUAGAGAGCUGAAGGUACCAAAUGAAUAAGCACCGGCUAACUCCGUGCCAGCCGCCGCGGUAA